GCAAAAAAUCCAUUGUGAACCGGGACAAUGCGCCAGGAAAGUUUUGUUCAAUGAAUUGAAUGCCACGAGAGAUUGGACAUGCAACAUUCACUGUAGUGGAACUGUUGUCUCUACCUGUCAGAAGAAAAAGAUAAUUCCUUCACUGCCACCCUCACUUUUCUAAUGAAGAGGGGCAGGAAAGAUUGAUGACAAAUAGUGCAUAAAGGAUAUGUAGCCUUGGAGAGAAGUACAAGCACCUGUCCACAAAGCCCAAAAUAUCUUAAGGCUGAAAGAUAGCUGAAAGCUUUACCCCUGUUGACUGAUUCACAUCAUCCUUCUAAUCCUUCCAACCUGACUGUAAUGUUUUUCACUUACCGUGCUCACAAACAGUGAAGCACAGCCUGACAGACCUAAGCUGCUCAAUAUUUGCCGUGCUAAUAUAUUUGAACUGAAGCCUCACUAGAGUUAGAGGAAACAUCUGGUUGGGUGUUAUGUGUACUCCUCCCUGUAUUGAUAUUCGAUCCUAUAUUAUCUUUUUCUAUUGAUACUCUAUUUGUGCAACUGCUCUGAUGAGCACAUAGUAGGCUGCAAAGUUGACUUUCCAAAAUGGAGAAUAAAAGAAUAGGUGAAGAAGAAAAAGAUGAAAAACUGAAAGAAUGAGAAAUGGUUGAAAAAAAUAGUUGGACAUUUAUCUAGCAUGCAAAUAUGGCGUUACAGUACAUUUUUCCUAAUCAGUAAGUUCCGAAUGUUUUAAACAACUAACAAGUUUUCUUUAAGUUAUCAGGACAAUUUAGUUGUUUGUAGAAGGAAAGGAAUACUUCUGAAUACUUACCACAGGUGAAGUUUAAGCCAUAAAAUUCAUUGACAAUCAGAAUCUCACUGCUGUAUUUUUGGAAGGUGAAAAAGCUGAGGAUUUGAAAAGGCAUUGGCAUUUCUUCUAUGGUCCUUUUAAGAAACAGAGAAGUUAAAUUGUCAUUUGCUACAUUGCAAGAACCAGUUCUGCCCUAAAUUGAAACAAUCUCUCUGAUUGUGGGAGAGUUACGUGAAGAGUUCUUGGCUGUACAUGUCAGCUUUUCAAACAUAAGUUUUAUUUCAGUACUAAAUGAGGAGACGGCAGCGAAGGUUCUCUCUGACUUCGGUACAGCAUGGUAACAUUCAGUCCUAAUUUCUUGUUGGUGCAUCGUAAUGUUCCUUCACAUUUAUUAAGCUAUUUAUUGAUUUAAUAUUUUUAUGUAGUUGAGUUUACACAAAUUAAAAAAGAUAUCUGAAAAGUUGACUAAACUGGAGAAGAAUAUUAAUAAAAUUAUUGAGAACAACUGUUUUUUUCUAAAACCACUAUUUAAUGUGUGUAAGUUCCAGCAAUUAUUAAAACUGGUAGGAUUUUUUUUCUGUAGAAUUCUCUAUUAAGGACAGCAUUUGAUACGAUCGUGUUGGCAUAUGUAAAAGAGUUCAGCCGAGCUGUUAGGUUUGAAUUGCUCAAUUUUAUCUUCAAGUUAUAUGCUAUUUUGCAAUAAUAAAUAAACAUUUUAAUAUCUGAAGUUA